GACGAACGCUGGCGGCGUGCUUAACACAUGCAAGUCGAACGGAAAGGCCCUGCUUUUGUGGGGUGCUCGAGUGGCGAACGGGUGAGUAACACGUGAGUAACCUGCCCUUGACUUUGGGAUAACUUCAGGAAACUGGGGCUAAUACCGGAUAGGAGCUCCUGCUGCAUGGUGGGGGUUGGAAAGUUUCGGCGGUUGGGGAUGGACUCGCGGCUUAUCAGCUUGUUGGUGGGGUAGUGGCUUACCAAGGCUUUGACGGGUAGCCGGCCUGAGAGGGUGACCGGCCACAUUGGGACUGAGAUACGGCCCAGACUACUACGGGAGGCAGCAGUGGGGAAUAUUGCACAAUGGGCGGAAGGCUGAUGCAGCAACGCCGCGUGCGGGAUGACGGCCUUCGGGUUGUAAACCGCUUUCGCCUGUGACGAAGCGUGAGUGACGGUAAUGGGUAAAGAAGCACCGGCUAACUACGUG
rnacentral:rRNA from 1 species